AAUUCGGGAUGGGAGCAGUUUUUCCAGACAACGAGGUCAAACGUCACAGUGACUUCCACGUCACAUGACCGGAUACUCCAGCUCGUCUCGAACAACCAGAGUCUCAGAGGAUCGUUGAGCUCCAGCUGCGACAUGAGGAGACUCACGAAGAAGAAAACUCUCACUCUGGUCAAGGAGCUGGACGCUUUCCCCAAAGUCCCGGAGAGCUACGUGGAGUCCACAGCCAGCGGCGGGACAGUGUCUCUGAUCGCCUUCACCCUCAUGGCUGUUCUCGCCAUCCUUGAGUUCUUUGUGUACACGAGGACGUGGAUGAGAUACGAGUACGAGGUGGACAAAGACUUCAGCAGUAAACUCCGGAUCAAUGUAGACAUCACAGUUGCUAUGAGAUGUCAAUAUAUUGGUGCAGAUGUCCUGGAUCUGGCAGAAACCAUGGUCGCAUCUGAUGGUUUAAAAUAUGAACCAGUCAACUAUGAACUGUCUCCACAGCAGAAAAUGUGGCACAUGACUCUGCUGCACAUCCAGGAGCGUCUGAGAGUAGAGCACGCUCUUCAGGACAUCAUCUUCAAGGCAGCGUUAAAAGGAGAUCCUCCUGCUCCUGACCAAAGGGACGACAGCAUCACUUCCCUCACCGCCUGCAGGAUACAUGGACAUAUGUAUGUUAACAAGGUGGCAGGAAACUUCCACAUCACUGUUGGCAAGUCCAUCCCUCACCCCAGAGGUCACGCUCAUCUAGCUGCUCUCGUCAGCCAUGACUCUUAUAACUUCUCUCACCGGAUCGACCACCUCUCCUUUGGAGAAGCGAUUCCUGGGAUAAUCAGCCCGUUGGACGGCACAGAGAAAAUCUCAGCUGAGCCAAACCACAUGUUUCAGUACUUCAUCACCAUCGUGCCCACCAAGCUGAACACCUACCAGAUUUCUGCUGAGACGCAUCAGUACUCAGUCACAGAGCGGGAGCGAGCGAUAAACCAUGCUGCAGGCAGCCAUGGGGUCUCAGGGAUCUUUAUGAAAUAUGAUAUCAGUUCUCUGAUGGUCAGAGUCACUGAACAGCACAUGCCUUUCUGGCAGUUUCUUGUCAGACUCUGCGGCAUCGUCGGAGGAAUUUUCUCCACCACAGGUAGAUAAACUGUUUUACCUAGUAUAAUGAUUCAUCAAGUACCAGAUGCAUAUGUACAAAACUAAACUGGAGCUUUAUGAUGAUUGGGCUGGUACCUUUAGGCAACAGCCACACGUAUAUGUUUUAGAUUUAAAACACGUCCCUGUUGCUACAUUUAUAUAUGUUGUUGUUAUUGUUGGUUUGAAAUGUUGUGUUGUAGUAUGGACGGGCAGAAACAAAUCAAAACAAUUGACUGCAGGGGGUAUAAUCUGCUUCCUGUUUACACUGGUACCCACAUGACCAGUGUAUGUGAAUGGUCAUGUGAUGUGCGUUUACAGAUGCAUUUAGUAUGGAAGGGAACUAUUAUUAUUAUUAUAAUGGAGUUAAAACCCUUUUUGUUUUACAAUGCUGCUUAAACACUUAUACUCGCAUAUUCUGAGCAGCCAUUGGCUUGAAAUGGAUUAAUUCAUCUACAAUAUAAAAAAUCCAUUAACAGAAACUUACAGAAAGAGAAAGAUCAAGCAAAGUGAAAAUAUAGGAACACACUCACAAACAGUCCCACAUGGAGCUAACAAAUUCAUUUUUAUACUGGUGUGAACUGAAAACAGAGGCAGCACAUGUAACCACUGUUCCUCAUGCGGUGAUGGAGUCACUGUAGAAGAAGAGUUCAGUUAAUGAGAGCAGACAUUCAGUCUUACAUAAACAGAGUAAAGCAUCUGGGAAAAAGCCAUAAAUCCUGCUGCAUGUAUUAUUUAUGGAUUUCUGUCAGAUGCAGACUCAACAUCGUCUUCUAUAUAAAAAAGCACAGAGAGAUCAAACCUGCUUUCACCUCAUCUGAGCUCAUGAAUGUCAGUGUCUGUGAACCGGGUCUUUGUCUCUCGCAGGGAUGCUCCAUAGCAUGAUCGGCUGCCUGGUCGACGUCAUCUGCUGUCGUUUUCAGAUGGGAAUCUACAAACCUCUGACGGAGGCUCCUCUGAAUGAACAAGAAACCAGUGAAAGCUCAGUUCCUCCUCCUCCUCCUCCGGAAGAUCUCUCACAACAAUGAGACGACAACAACUCAGCUGCCGUCGGCUGACGACUCCCCAGCUGCACCUAAACCACUAAAACAGCACAGCCUGACUCAUGUGGGUUUUUGGGCCGAGGCUGAGAUUAGGGAGCAAAAUACAAACAUGAAGAACAGGAAUUGAGAAGAUAUAUAUAAUUUUUAACAUAAAAUGUGAACAAACACAUUCUCUGCAAUGUUUAUCCUGUAAAUUUAGUUUAAAUAUCGGCAAACGCAGAUGGCGAUACGUCUGUAAAAGGCUCAUAUUGACCUGCUGAUAAAUUGAUCGGGUUCUACCAAUCAGCGGUGAGAUGCUGGGAAAAUGUUUACAAGUUGUUUUAUUUUGAAAUAUGUGUUUCUUCUGAGAAAUGUGUAAAUAAUUGUAUCUUGUUUAUUUCUAUUGGAUGGAUGUGAGAUUGUUAUUGGUACCUCCUCUAAUGUAAUUUCCACUGGAAGCGUCACCAGGACCAAACUACACACAUGAUUUACAUCAUUAUUACAGUGUGUUCAGACCCACACAGGAGUUUCUGCUGAUUCUCACCUUUUCUCUGCGUUAUAUUUCCAGCUACACACUUGAUUGACAGAUGUGGUUUUAGCUUUUUUCAGAUUUUUUCCCCCCAUGUUCUUUGGUGACAUCAGAAAAAGCAGUGAAGAAAGUGUUCAGCCCCGUUUAGAACUGUGUGAAAGUCUGGUAUUGUGCCUGUGUGUAAAUGAUUGUUGCAAACAUGAGGCUGACUUGUUAAAUAAAAUCCACUCUGAUGUGGUUUCAUUGUAAA